rnacentral:rRNA from 1 species
CACGGGGGGAGCAAGCGUUGUUCGGAAUCACUGGGCGUAAAGGGCGUGUAGGCGGUUCGGUAAGUGGAAUGUGAAAUGCUCCGGCUCACCCGGAGUACUGCAUCCCAAACUGCCGAGCUUGAGUAUGGGAGAGGAUGAGGGAAUUCCUGGUGUAGCGGUGAAAUGCGUAGAUAUCAGGAGGAACAUCGGUGGCGAAGGCGGCUAGCUGGCGUCCUACUGACGUCUGAUGCGACGACAGCGGGUGGGGA